rnacentral:rRNA from 1 species
AGCUCCAAUAGCGUAUAUUAAAGUUGUUGCAGUUAAAAAGCUCGUAGUUGAAUUUCUGAUGAGAAUUAUCGAUCCGAGUACAUAGUACUUGUGUAUCGUUUUUAUUCUUAUCAUCUUGGUAGUGAGUGUAUCUGGCAUUAGGUUGUUGGAUGCAGGAGCUGCCUCGUUUACUGUGAGGAAAUCAGAGUGUUCAAAGCAGGCAUUACGCCUUGAAUGCUUCAGCAUGGAAUAAAGAGAUAGGACGUUGGUGCUAUUUUAUUGGUUUGCACACCACGUAAUGAUUAAUAGGGAUAGUUGGGGGUAUUCAUAUUUGAUUGUCAGAGGUGAAAUUCUUGGAUUUAUGAAAGAUGAACUUAUGCGAAAGCAUUUAUCAAGGAUGUUUUCUUUAAUCAAGAACGAA